rnacentral:misc_RNA from 1 species
CUGAGGGAACUGUUGCCUCAUUGUUUCCUCACUCUCCCAUGUUGGCUCUUCCGUGUUGUGGUGCCUCCAUAGGAUUUUCACUAGUGGAAUUGUCUUGUUUCUGAGCUCUUUUACCUCUCGUGCCAAGAUUUUAAUUGGUUCUUCUUCAUAUGUCAGGUCAGGUUGUACCACAAUUUCUUCUGCUGAGAUGACAUGUGAAGGAUCUUAUCUGUAUCUUCUGAGCAUCGAGACAUGGAACACAUUAUGUAUCUUGUCCAGCUCAGGUGGUAAGGCUAAUCUGUAGGCUACUGGUCCCACACGUUCAAUAACUUCAUAUGGGCCAAUAAACCUAGGGCUUAAUUUUCCCUUUUUCCCGAAUCUCAACACUUUCUUCCACGGUGAUACUUUGAGAAAUACCUUCUCGCCAACUUCAUACUCAAUGUCUUUUCUCCUCAAGUCAGCAUAAGAUUUCUGUCGGUCUGAGGCAACUUUCAAAUUGGCCUUUAUCAGUUUCACCUUUUCCUUUGUCUGUUUUAUCAGGUCUGACCCCACUAGCUUAUCUUCACCCAAUUCAGUCCAACAUACAGGUGUUCUGCAUUUUCUCCCAUACAGUGCUUCA